rnacentral:other from 1 species
GUCUCCCUGCGCCGUGCGUCAGCGGCCAUGAAAGCUUGAGCCGACAAUCCUCGACCUUGGGAGCGGGCUGCGCUGACCGGUGUGCACGACCGCGCGGCGGUAAGCCUGAAGGCAGCGACGAAGCUCCCACCCUUGAACCCACGGUUCAAGGUCCACGGCCGCGACGGCGGAGGCGGGGACGAC